UUCGCCUACGGGGGGCAGCAGUGAGGAAUAUUGGUCAAUGGGCGAGAGCCUGAACCAGCCAAGUCGCGUGAGGGAGUACUGCCCUAUGGGUUGUAAACCUCUUUUGUCGGGGAGCAAAAGCCGGACGUGUCCGUCUGUGAGAGUACCCGAAGAAAAAGCAUCGGCUAACUCCGUGCCAGCAGCCGCGGUAAUACGGAGGAUGCGAGCGUUAUCCGGAUUUAUUGGGUUUAAAGGGUGCGCAGGCGGAUUUUUAAGUCAGCGGUAAAAAUUCGGGGCGCAACCCCGUCGUGCCGUUGA
rnacentral:rRNA from 1 species